rnacentral:rRNA from 1 species
UACGGGGGGGGCAAGCGUUGUUCGGAAUUACUGGGCGUAAAGGGCUCGUAGGCGGCCAACUAAGUCAGACGUGAAAUCCCUCGGCUUAACCGGGGAACUGCAUCUGAUACUGGAUGGCUUGAGAUUGGGAGAGGGAUGCGGAAUUCCAGGUGUAGCGGUGAAAUGCGUAGAUAUCUGGAGGAACACCGGUGGCGAAGGCGGGAUCCUGGGCCAGUACUGACGCUGAGGAGCGAAAGCGUGGGGAGCAAACAGG